rnacentral:rRNA from 1 species
GACGGAGGGUGCAAACGUUGUUCGGAAUCACUGGGCGUAAAGGGCGCGUAGGCGGACUUGUAAGUCGGGGGUGAAAACUCGGGGCUCAACCCCGAGCCUGCUUCCGAAACUGCGAGUCUUGAGGACCGGAGAGGAAAGUGGAAUUCCUAGUGUAGCGGUGGAAUGCGUAGAUAUUAGGAAGAACACCAGUGGCGAAGGCGACUUUCUGGACGGUUCCUGACGCUGAGGCGCGAAAGCUAGGGGAGCAAACAGG